rnacentral:pre_miRNA from 15 species
UCGCUCAUCAACUGGAUGUGAAAUGGAUUUGUAGCUCAUAUCACAGCCAGCUUUGAUGAGCGCUA